UAUUCAAGGUCAAAGGUCACAAAAAUUGG
rnacentral:sRNA from 1 species